rnacentral:lncRNA from 1 species
UCAUAGCAAAGACUUGACCGCAGACUCCAAUAAUGGCCAACUGCCUGUAAUAGCCAGCGGAGGCUCAUCAGGUUCUGUGGCAAGCUAAAGACAGGUAGAUGAUGAAGCACUACAGAAAUUUCGGUGUGAGCUUAUUGUAUCUUAAGGCCACUACAGAAAUUUCGGGACGGUGUAUCGUCGUGAACAGAAACAUGCUGAAAACCGCAGGGGAUUCUGCUCUGUUUUUGAAAUACUAGUUAAAUUGCAGCAAGUUCUCUAAUCAGAAAAUUGCCGCCCGCCGGCCACCGCUGACAUUACCGCCUUGCAUCCCGCGCUCCCGUCCAUGUGUCUCGUGCCACUGCCACUACCUCCGGUCCGCCGCGCUUCCCCCACCCACGGGUGCGUAUCCCGCGAGGCAGCGCCGGCGCCGCCCACCGGGAGGUUGCAUGGUGGCUACAGACGGUGAGAGCCCGUGGCAAUUUCUGCUCUUCUUCUUCUCAGGCUGCCUUCUGGGUUCCUCUCAUUCGAUCUGCCACUGACAAAGGUAUCUCUUCCUCUGAUAGCACUGAUGCAGAUUCCCGAUUUGUUAUUGGGACAGAAACUUGGUCCGUUGCCCUGUGAAUCUGUGAUUACCAGUUACGCUUGUAUUUGUAUACAUUUCCUGUGCUCACCUCUGAAAUAGAUGAUGAUAUCCUAUAAACAAUAUACAAUUACGCUGAUGGAGAGGACCAUGAAUGGUUUCCAAGAACAUCUCUAUCGUCCAGCUCACGCUAGCAGGUGAGACAUGACUCCUCUGCUUGGCUGCUUGCCGCCGGGCCCUCCUCCCUCUGCUUUCGAUUCCUCCCUCUGGUUGGGCCCUUACCCUGAGAAGGAUGCGCAUCAUCUCCGCGUCUAACCUGGUGGUGCAGUGUUCUGCCCUAUCACAUCAAAUAUUUAAUACUAAUUAGAAGUAUAAAAUAUAAAUUAAUUAUAAAACCAAUUGCACAGGUGGAGGCUAAUUCGCGAGAUGAAUCUAUUAGCUUGAUUAGUUCAUGAUUUGAUAGUGUGAUGCUACAGUAAACAUGUGCUAAUUAUGCAUUAAUUAAGUUUAAUAGAUUCGUCUCGCGAAUUAGCCUAAAUCUAUAUAAUUAAUUUUGUAAUUAAUACAUAUUUAGUCCGUACUCAACUAUAUACUCUAGAGGCCGUCGUCACAUGAUUGCAGCGAUCUAUCAACAAUAAUUGGGAGUAGGAAGCAGCAGCACUGUUCGGAUGCCAGUGCAGUCAACGAAGGCCAUGUGCGCUUGCCGACAGAGACAGCAAGCCGUUUCAAGUGCUGAGCUGUUAGCCUGUUACGAUCAGGAAUCGUCAAAAGGCCGGCCAUUUCUCAAGCUUUAGCUACUCAUACGCCAAGUGCCGCCCUCUAACCGUUGUCUUCUCCACUCGGCCAUAGUGCUCCCCUCCCCUUCCCCUCUACUCUGAGUUCGCCUUCUCAAGAGCUCCGAUGGCUGGACUAGCGGUCAGCCUGGUGGUGGGCCCACUGGUGUCCCUGGUGAAGGAGAAGGCGUCCAACUAUCUCCUGGACAAGUACAAGGUGAUGGAGGGUAUGGAGAAGCAGCACGAGGUCCUCAAGCGCAAGCUGCCUGCCAUCCUCGACGUCAUCGCCGACGCUGAGAAGCAGGCGUCCCACCAGAAAGGAGUGAAGGUAUGGCUUGGCAGGCUCAAGACGGUGGCAUACCAGGCGAUCGACAUCUUUGAUGAGUUCGAGUAUGAGGCGCUCCGUCGUCAAGCCAAGAAGAAUGGGCACAUCACCAAGCUUGGCAAGGCUGGAGUAAAGCUCUUUCCUACCCACAACCGUGUUAUAUUCCGUAUCAGGAUGGCCAGCAAGCUUCAACGCGUUGUUGGCGCCAUCAAGGUCCUUGUGGAUCAAAUGAACGACUUUGGGUUCAACAGGCUUCAACACCAGCAGGCACCAGCACUGAAGGAGGGGCGUGAGACGGAUUCCAAUAUCGUUGAUCCUAAAAAUAUUGUUAGCCGAUCUAGGCACGAGGAAAGGAAGAAAAUUGUUGAGAUAUUGGUCAACGAUCAAGCUACCAAUGGUGAUCUCAAGGUUCUUCCCAUCGUUGGAAUGGGAGGUUUGGGCAAGACUACCCUCGCUCAGCUCAUCUACAACGAUCCUCAAGUCAAGGAUCAUUUUCAGCUACUAAAGUGGGUGUGUGUGUCAGAUGAUUUCAAUCUAUGUAAUCUUGCCAACAAAAUUUGCAACGCUUCGGAGGGUUCCCUUGAAAAGGCACUGAAGGAGCUUCAGGAACAGCUUAAGGGAAAGAGGUAAGCUGGAGUUAAUCAACUCGAUUCUCUUGCCCUCUAUCGUGCUUUCAAGCUAAGUCACUCUUACUAAUCUCUCAGUACAUGCAGUGACCCGUUAUUAGUUGCUUACAAUAAUCAUUAUUGUGUGUUGAAAGCAAUAAUUAUUAAUUGUUUACAAUAAUCAUUAUUGUGUGUUGAAAGCAAUAAUUAUUAAUUGUUUACAAUAAUCAUUACUUCACUAUUCCUCUAUCAUUAUUGUGUGUUGGGAUGGCAAACCCGUCUUUUGGCUAUCUAUUAGCUGGAAAAGUGCUAAUGUAAACAAUUAUUGGUAACAGGUACCUUCUUGUAUUGGAUGACGUAUGGGAUGAGGAGAGCUUCUUGGACAAGUGGGAAAAGUUCAAGGCCUGUCUUGAACAAGGUGGUGUCGGUAGUGCCGUACUAACAACCACCCGUAACACAGAAAUAGCUCAAUUAAUGGGUACAGUUGGGAUCUCACACGAAAGGAAAUACCUUGAUGUCGGAAAUUUAGGCAAGGAAUUCAUACAGGAAAUUAUUGAAACAAGAGCAUUCAGUUUGCAUAAGCGAGAUGAUGAGCUUGUAAACCUGGUUGGUCCGAUUGCAGAGAGAUGUGCUGGGUCGCCAUUGGCAGCCAAAGCUCUGGGGUCUAUAUUGCGUAAGAAGACCACUACGGAAGAAUGGGAGGAUGUGCUACAGAGAAGCAACAUAUGCACUGUUGAGACUGGAAUUUUGCCUAUACUUAAGCUUAGCUACGAUGAGUUGCCAACUGACAUGAAGCCAUGCUUUGCUUUUUGUGCUCUGUAUCCAAAGGAUUAUCAAAUUGAUGUGGACAACCUUAUCCAACUAUGGAUGGCUAAUGGUUUUAUCGUCUUCGAACAAAACAAGGUACCAAUUGAAACCGUGGGUAAACGGAUUGUCAACGAGAUGGUUUCAAGGUCAUUGUUCGAGCAUGUGGAGCAAGAUCCAACAAAGUUCGGGUAUAGUUCUACAACUUUUUUGAAGAUCCAUGACCUUAUGCACGAUGUUGCAGUGUCUGCUACAGAAGACGAGUACAUAUAUGUAACUGAUGAAAUGGAUGAAAGUGGUAAAUUACUUCCAAGUGCUACCCGCCAUAUACAUUUUGAAACAUGGGAGGGACAACUUUUUGCAAAUAUUGAUAUUUUAUCUAUCCGAACGUUGCUUGUAGUUCCUGGGAGAUAUUAUCGAGAUGAGCUGCAUUCAUCCAAAUAUAGUUCUCUGCGAGCACUUGCUCUACCAGCAUCAUAUUAUAAAUAUUUGCCAAUGAAACCAAAGAAUCUGCACCACCUUAGGUACCUUGAUAUCUCUAAGAGUACAAUCAAAGCACUUCCAGAUGACAUAAGCAUACUAUAUAAUCUUCAGACACUUAAACUUUCUGGUUGUGAGGAACUUAGUAUGCUUCCGAAGCAAAUGAAGUACAUGACUGCCCUUUGUCAUCUCUACACUGAUGGAUGCACCAAGUUACAGUGUAUGCCUCCGGAGCUUGGACGACUCACCUCUCUUCGAACACUUACAUGUUUUGUAGUGAGCAGUGACUCGGAUUGUAGUAGUCUUGGAGAGCUAAAAAAUUUGAACAUUGGUGGUUCACUAGAGCUAAAGCAGCUCGAAAAUGUGACAGAAGCAAGAAAUGCAAGACAAGCAAAUCUUGGAAAUAAGAAGGAACUGAGACAGCUGUCAUUAAGGUGGACAAGUGGUAAGGGGGAGGAACAGCAAUGUAACGAGGUGCUAGAGGUUCUCGAAGUUCAUGAUAGACUACUAGCUCUAGAAAUAGAAGCCUACCAAGGCACCAAUUUUCCAUUAUGGAUGGGUGCGUUAAGAAACAUGGUUGAGCUUCGGCUAUCUGAUUGUAGCAAAUCUGAGCAGCUUCCUCCAUUGUGCCAGUUACCAGCACUACAGCUUCUUCAUUUGGAAGGAUUGACACAGUUGCAGUUCUUGUGCAGCAGUUGUACAUCCUCCACAUUUGGAAAGCUUAAGGAUCUUAAGCUUGAUUAUCUUCCUAAUUUUGAUAGGUUUUAUGAUCAGGUAGUGCAAGAAGAGCUAGUAGCAUUUCCUCAGCUCGAGAAAUUGCAUAUUGAAGGCUGCAGAGAAUUGACAGCAUUACCAGAAGCGGGAGUGCUCAGAAAAUGGUAUGAUGGUGGAGAAUAUACAAUGGUCCGCUCAGCAUUCCCAGAAUUGAAGAGCCUCGUAUUGAUAGAUUUAUGGAGCUUUGAGAGAUGGGAGGCUGCCAUUGAAAUUGAAGUAGAACAUGCACUAUUCCCUUUGCUUGAGACUGUCCGUAUUUAUCGUUGCGACAAGUUAACCACUCUGCCUAGAGCACCAAAGCUCAGGGAACUAUGCCUAUCUAUGAAUUAUUAUAAAAACCAACAGAGGUCCCUGGGAGCAACUAGAUAUAUGACGUCACUGUCCAAUUUGAAACUGGAAAGAGUCGAGGUGGAUGGCAAGGACAAAUGGGACUAUAUUUCAUCUGUGACAAAUAUGCACCUUGACUCCUGCAGUUUGUUCUUCCAAUCACAUGCACUAGCUCUGUGGGCUUGUUUUCGGCAGCUGCAAGAUCUGGUUAUCAGGAGGGCGAAUGACCUAAUCUACUGGCCGGAAAACGAGUUCCAAAAUUUGGUUUCCUUGCGGAGGCUGUAUAUUGGGGAUUGCGAGAGUCUGGUUGGAUAUGCUCCUGACCAGGCAACAUUAGAAAGGAGCCAACUUUUGCCCUGCCUCGAGUCUCUAAGUAUAUCUUUUUGCGAUAGUCUGGUAGAGGUCUUCAACCCUACCCCUGCCCUCAAGGAGAUGGAUGUUGAAUACUGUAAAAAUCUGAAGACCAUAUCCUUCAAGCAACAGGACAAGACAUCAUUAAAUGCAGGUCAUCCUAGCACUGACGUCAUCAUGGCAUCCACUGCUGUACAGGAUCUCUCACCAUCCGCCGGCCGGAGUAAUUUCCUUCCAUCAUCUCUAGAAACUCUGACAAUCGAUGAAUGUGAUGGAUUGUUAGAGGUUCUCAAUCUUCCCUCAUCCCUUAAAGAAAUAUAUAUUAGUGGUUGCUCCCAACUACAAAUCCUAUCAGGCGAGCUGGAUGCACUCAGUUACCUAUCAGACGACUGUCCAGCUAUAAAGGACCUGCGGGAGCGGUAUGGCAUCCAUUUCUGAAGGUACCCACUGAACACAAUAUUAGUCAUUUCGACAAAAAUAAUGCAUAAAUCCGUUCAUUUAUGUUAUUAUCAAUUCUGAACACACGUACUAUUCCGAAAAAAAACAUUUUCACCGCUGCAAACAUUGGAUGAAGUUUAUACCAAAUUUGUAUAUAUAUAUAUAUAUAUAUAUAUAUAUAUAUAUAUAUAUUUGAAAUUUUAUUGAACUUUACAAUUUUUUAACAGGACGCUCUCCAUCGCUGCUUGGGCGUCUCUGCUCCUGGCUUCCUCCUCCUACGGGGCUUCUGUGUGAAGACCACACGCCCUGUAGUAGGUCUUGGACAUGUCGGACAUGGCACUCUUCAUGGUAUCAGCCAGUACAUGCCUAGCUUCAUUCGUGUGAAUCUCCUGAGCAAAGGAUGGCAAAGAGUGAUGUGGUGGUGAUACUAAAAAAGAUUAUAAAGGACUUCGCCAAAUCUGCAUCAACCUCAAAGCAGAGUGCAGCCUAUUGAGUAGUCAUUACCAAGGCAAUUUCCCCUGUAUUUGUAUUCAUGUGCUCUGUUAACUUGUGCAAGAGAUGAAUAGCAUCAGCCAUCUCUUAUUUCAUUUUUCUCCACUAGUUAUUUGUAUCCUAUAUAAGAUUUCUGAACAGAAACUGUCAUAUGUAAUAUAAGUUUCUUCUAUUGGAGUUUCUUUUUUGAACGAACAACUGUCAAAUGUAGCUGAGUAUCCACUUCUUAUGCUCUGUAUCCCACUAUGUUUGGAAUUGCUAAAGUGAUUCACAUGACCAAAGUCCAAAGGAUGUCAAUGAGAGAUGUGAGGGUGGCAUUGAAAAAAGAUUAUAAAGCAUUACGCCGAAUCGGCAUCAGCCACAAUGCAGAGUGCCGCCCAAUGUUCAGGUGUGCUCGCUGAAGUUAUACAUCUGCUGUGUUCACUUCUGCAAAGUAGAACUAUCUUGUACUUCAUAUUUCUUCACUAGUUAUUUGUCUCCUGUAUACGAUUCAGUGUAUACUCAAAUGAACACAAAUAAACCGCCAUAUUGUAAAAUAAUUUAGUGUAUGGAAUCUCAAAUGGUGAAAUGGAGUUCACUUCGUAUCCUCUGUCUUUCCCUAUUGAGUAUUGUCAGUAUGAAUAACGAGUAAUGUCAGAGAUCAUUGCAGAGAGGCCAUCGCUGCUGUCGUCGUUGCCGCCGAGCAGUUGGACACGGAGUGCACCCUCGCGGCGAGGCUCCCUACAGACCAAGCCGCCACGAGCCAACGGCCGACCAACCGCCGGUGAAGUCGAGCGCAGUGCUGCUUUCUCGCCUCAAAGGUGUCGUUGAUGAAUCGAGCGCACCUGCCACUGAAUAACUGAGAAUAUUGUUUGCCCUAGACUUGAAUCGGGUCCAAGCUCCACGAUCGAAUUUAGUAGGUAUUGGUAAAAUAAAGGGGUCUCUGUGAAAAUAUUCGAUCCAAACUAGGGAGGUAUAUGUAAAAUACGGGGACCAAAUUGAGAAUAAGUGGAUCGCGAACCGGGGACUCUUCUGCACUGCAGAGCAUUCGGGGGCGGUGGACUUGGCAUCCGGCGCCGCAACGCCGCCGGCCGCCGGCCACCGCUGACCUUGCAGCCGUGCGUACCGCGCUCCCAUCCAUCGAUACCAUGCCAGCACCUCCAGUCAUCCGCGCUUCCCGCAUUCGAAUCGACGGCGACAAGUGCCUCCAAGUCCUCGCCGAGUCCUCGAUCUGCUCGCUCGGCUCCGGCCACCAUCCUCUGACUAGGAUCGCUCAUUGCACUUGCAAGGUACCCUCCAGCCCUUUACUCUCCCUCCCAUGAAUGCCGUCGUCUCUCUCGCCGGUUUGUAUGUGCACUGAUUACUGCUGCCGGCAUCAGGCGGCACUCCAGGUGCUCGAUGCUUUGCCCACAGAGCACACUGCCUACCGGCUUUCAAGGGCCACUAGCAGUAGUGCUAGAGCACAUAUAUGAGUUUACUGCUCAUACAUCACAUGGUGGCAUGAAUAAGAUCUCUGUAUCUUUCUAUGAAUAUAGAACAGGAGAUGGUCGAAUUACAAGUGCUUCAUUGGGGCUAGUUGCUUCUCAGUAUCUCAAAUUGAAUUAUUGACGUUUCCAAAAGUUUAUUUCAGGAAAGCUGACCAAUCCUUAUUUUCUUUGCUGAUGGAACAGGGGAGCACUGCCGGUCCGGUUCUGCUUGGAACCUUGCAAGAAUACUUUUGGGACUUUUGAACAUGCCAAUCCUAAUGAACACUACAGGCAUUUACGUGUACACUACAGACUUUUGGGACUAUUGAGAGGAAGCCAAAUGCGAACAAAUGCCCAAUAAUGCGGCUGUUCCUUGUUUUUCCUUCAGUGCGGAUAAAUUAAUUGUAUGGUCUAUUUAUUUCCUUUAAGUUUCUCUUCAGAGCAUGGCCCACUAAUACUGGACUGCCUACAUAAGCAAUCAUUCUGCCCUUCUCCUGAAUUCUCCAGAAGUAUCAAUCCUUCUUAAUUUGGUGGCUAACACGAGGAGAGUAGUGAUCUUCAAAAUGGUACAAUCCUUCCACUGACGCUGUUUCUUGGUCUUCUUACUUUCUAAAAUUUGUAUACUAAUUGUGAUACCUCUUCUACCUUUCAGUUAUUUUAUACCGUAGGGAUGGUGCCUGGACUGCGAUUCUCUCCUGAUAAUUCUGAGAAACAGGGAGGGGACAGAAUGGUGCUCCGUUAUUAUAUGUCAAAGUUCUGAAGGUUUGCCAUCCAUAAAUCAUCUCACCACCAGACUCCAAAGUUUGUUCAUCAUCUUAAGUAUGAGAAAACCACCAUGCUACGUAUCGAUAUGUUGAUGGCCAUCAUUUUAUUGUUUGGCUUGUCUCUCCACCUCAAUGGUGUUGCUCAGCUCUCUGCAGUUGCUCCCCCUAACUCUUGGAAAAUUUCAAAUAUGCAGCUGCAGCGCAUUAACAUGCACAACGUAUCUAGUAUCCUUCCUAUUCUUGACCAUAGAAUCAUGUCAUAUAGAACUUAUUUUGGCUUCUAUGCCAUAGAUGGUCAUUCAUUCAUUCUCUCUAUUGUGAUUUUUGGACCCCAAGCUCCAGUCAUCUGGUCUGCCAACCCUGACAAUCCUGUAAACUGCGACACCAUCUUAAAGUUCACUAGAGAAGAGGAUUUGCAGCUCCGCUGGAUGUAUACCCUUAAGUAGCCCUUCCUGCAACCAAGCACACAACAACCAGCUAAUACAAGUCAACAAUGUUUCUUACUUCAGUAACAGUGCAUUCUUGUUAUUAGCAAGUUCAACUUCUGAAAAUGUUUGCAAGCGAUCAUGCUUAACUGAUUGCGAUUGCAAAGCAGUGGUUUUUCCAAAAGAACGUUUACGGUAGUGAUGGUGGUUACUGCUUGUUGCUAUCUGACAGCAUGGCAAUUUUGUUUGCAGACAAUUCAUCAAAUCGUUUUUCAGCAUUUGUAAAGAUAGAAGGUAAUCACUCAGAAAAAAGGAGAACAAUUAUUAUUGUUGUUGGUUCAAUUGCAGGAUUUUGUCUAAUAUCUGUCUUGGUUUGCAUGGCUGUAUGGAAGAAAUACAAGAAAAACGAGGAACCACCUUUGAUGUCAUACCUGGAAUACCAAAGCGUUUCUCCUUUCAUGAGUUAGAAGUUUCUACUGGCCACUUCUGUAUAAAGCUGGGAGGUGGUGGCUUUGGGUCCGUAUUCAAAGGCAAGAUAGGCAGGCAAACUAUUGCUGUCAAACGCUUGGAGGGUCUCGAGCAAGGAAUGGAAGAGUUCUUAGCAGAGGUCAAGACAAUUGGCAGAAUUCAUCACUUUAAUCUCAUAAGGUUGGUUGCUUCUUGUCUACGAAUACUCGUCCAAUGGCUCGUUAGACAAAUGGAUCUUUCCCAAAAGUACAGUCUUCACUCUCUCUUGGAAAACUAGACGUGAUAUCAUAUUGGGCAUUGCUAGGGGUUUAUCCUACCUUCACGAAGAACGUGAGCAAAGGAUUGCUCAUUUGGAUAUCAAGCCACAGAAUAUUCUCUUGGAUGACAAAUUCAGUGCUAAGAUCUCAGAGUUUGGACUCUCAAAAAUGAUAAACAGGGAUCAAAGCAAAGUCAUGACUAGAAUGCGAGGAACACGUGGUUAUCUUGCACCUGAAUGGCUGGGUUCAAAAAUCACAGAGAAGGCUGACAUUUACAGCUUUGGGAUUGUGAUGAUCGAAAUCAUAUGUGGUCGAGAAAAUUUGGAUGAAUCACUACCCGAGGAGAACAUCCAUUUGAUAAGCCUGCUUCAAGAGAAGGCACGGUUUGGCCAGUUGUCUGAUUUGGUGGACAGUAGCAGCAAUGACAUGGGAUUGCAUAUGCAAGUGGUCGUGGAAGCGAUGAAGCUUGCUAUGUGGUGCUUGCAGGUUGAUAGCAGCAGAAGACCCUUGAUGUCAACAAUCGCCAAAGUGUUGGAAGGUGUGAUGAGCAUGGAGGAAAUACCUGACUGCACUUUGGUCCCUAGUUUUGCAUCAAACAAUACCGUGGGAGCAGGUUCUUCUUAUCUUCCUUCUGAGUCAUAUUUAUCAGGGCCUAGGUGAUACCGGUUAAAGCCUCCAACUGAGAGUAAACUUUCAAUCAGGAUAAAAGGUGUUCUUUUUUGUCUCAGUUGGAUUUUUUAAUAGUGAUAAAAACUCAUCCCCCAUUAUAUACCAAGACAGAGGCAUUUCUUCCUCCCCAGCCCGAGCCAGUCCACCACAAAGAUGGUGCCGAAGCAAGAGAGGUGCUGCCCGAAUUUUUUUCCCUCAUUUUCGUGGGAAUUUCACUCAUGCAAAGUGUUGUGAAGGUUUCCUACUUCAUCCUCGUAUUACGCUUUGAUUUAUGCUUUGGAGAUGGAUAGUUUAUUUGCUAGAAUGUGAAGUAGAAAAUGGAGAGAUAUUUUGAGCUAGAAUGUGAGGAUGAUCGAUGUGUCAUAUAUAGUAUGUAUCUUUGCUGUGGUUUAAAAAUAAUGCUACCCUUGUCUAGACGGUUUUGUUUUGUAAAAUUCAAUAUGGUUUUUCAAAUCCAUACUUGUUGAACUUGCAUACCAUGUUCAUCUCAGCGAGAAUGUUCUCCGCCGAGCAGCAACGUAUGUCAAGGAGGAGGUCCGAUUCUACGAGAAAGAGUGGAUACGGACAUCGUGGAAGACCGUGUCCCCUUUUUCAUAGAAUUGAAUCUCUUCCAUGACGAAGCGCGGUGCUGCCCAGUUGAGAACAUGCUCGCAAGAUGAUCACGGUCUUCAAGUUCAACAAGUUCUGUAGGCAUACCGUAUUCAUCUCGGUAAGCAUGUUCUCCGUGGAGCAGCAACGGACGUUAAGGAGGAGCUUUGAUUUUACAAGAAAGAGCGGCAACAACCUUUCUCGUAAAAUCGUAAAAUCGAAGCUCUUCCAUGACGAAGUACGGUACCGCCUAGUUGAGAACAUGCUUGCCGAGAUGAUCACGGUCUUCAAGUUCAACAAGUUCUGCAGUGCUAAGAUAAGAAUUUUUGUACAUAGAUGGCUUCUACUACUGGAGGAAGUGGUGAUGGUGGGGGCGAUCAUCGUUCCUCUUCCGGCAAGGGGAAAUUCAAGUUGGCUCUCAUGAUAAGCCAAUGAAAAUGAGCACGUUGGAGAAAGCAAUGCUUUGUUAUUUGCAGAAACGUCAUGAAGAACCUGUUGCGGCGGGUCAAGAACCUCCUUUUGGUAGUCGUUAUGCUCCAUCGUUAGUCCCGUGUGUUUCACGUCCACUUAGUACUACCGUUUUAGGCGGCACAAAUAAACCACAGGAUAAGGCUGGGUCAGCGGAACCUUCGUCUUCAUCGCCCAAGGAUGCUUAAAGUCUUUCUAGAUAAUAACCAUUGGAUGGCUUAACGUAGUGUAUCAUGUUGUUUGGAUAUAUAAUUUAAAUAUGUGUAUUUGUAUCUAUAUCUAAACUUUCAGCAUUAUUUGCACUACAACGUUUGACAUGCUUUCAAUCGUGAAUCCAUUUUCAAGUGUAAUCAAUUUUCAUGCGUAAUCAAUUUUCAGUGUAAUCCAUUUUCACGCGUAAUCCAUUUUCAAGUGUAAUCCAUUUUCAUGCGUAAUACGAUGCAGAUGGACCGGCAAUGAAUGUAUAAUGCAGACAGAUGGAGCGAGGUGUUUAUUGAUGGCUUGCAUUAUUUUCUCGAAGUGGCUAAAGCGAACAAGUCAGAGAAUGGGUUCGUAUGUUGUCCAUGUUUCCGAUGCAAUAACAAGGACUACGCAAAGGAUUCCUGGGAGACUAUUCACAGCCACUUGUUUAGAUACGGUUUCAUGCCUAACUAUUUGGUUUGGACCAAGCACGGUGAAAGAGGGGUUGUAAUGGAAGACGGCGAAGAGGAGGGGGAUGAUGACAACAUUCCGGACUAGGUUGCAGGCUAAGCUUUUGCAGAUACUACAAUGGACAAGGCUGAUGAAGAUGAGUUUGCAGAAAAUGGCCCUACUGAUGACCUUGGUCAGGUGCUACGAGAUGCACACAGAGAUUGCGAAACUGAGAAGGAAGCAGUAAAGUUGCAGCGCAUGAUAGAUGAUCACCAAAAAAUGUUAUACCCUGAUUGCUAGCAAGGCCAUAAAAAACUAGGUACGACACUAGAAUUUGUGCAAUGAAAGGCAAAAAAUGGUGUGUCCGAUAAGUCAUUUCAGGGGAUAUUGAACAUUGUUAAGAAGAUUCUUUCCGAGAAUAAUGAAUUAUCAUUCACAACAUAUGAAGCUAAACAGAUUAUUUGCCCUCUCAGAUUGCAGGUUCAGAAGAUACACGCAUGCCCUAAUGACUGUAUCCUCUAUCGUGGUGAUGAAUACGAGAAAAUGGAUGCUUGUCCCAUCUGCGAAGCGAUGCGGUAUAAGAUUAGGCGAGAUGAUCCUGAUGAUGUCGAGGGGUAGUCUCCCAAGAAGAGAGUUCCCGCGAAGGUGAUGUGGUAUUUCCCUAUAAUACCAUGCUUGAAGCGCUUGUUUUCAGAAACAAGGCGAAUGCUAAGUUGAUGCGAUGGAACAAAGAAAAACAUAUGGAAUAUGAGAUGCUGAGACACCCCGCAGAUGGGGCCCAGUGGAGAUCAAUUGAUAGAGCAUUCCCGAACUUUGAAAAUGAAGCAAGGAACAUAAGGUUUGGUUUAAGUACUGAUCGAUUCAAUCCAUUCGGUGAGUUGAGUAGUGACCAUAGUACUUGGCCUGUGACUCUAUGUACGUUCAACCUUCCUCCUUGGUUGUGCAUGAAGCGGAAGUUCAUUAUGAUGUCGGCGCUUAUCCAAGGCCUAAAACAACGACAUUGAUGAACUUUUACAGCUCUGGAAGGAAGAAGGUGUACGUGUGUGGGAUAAGGAUAAACAAGAGAUCUUUAAUCUACGAGCAUUGUUGUUCAUAACCAACAAUGAUUGACCUGCACUGAGUAACCUUUCGGGACAGACAAACAAGGGAUAUCGGGCCUACACCCACUGUUUAGAUGACAAAGACAUAAUAUAUUUGAAGUACUAUAAGAAGGUUAUCUAUAUGGGUGAUCGUAUCUGCUCACCACCAACUGAGAAAGAGUGGGAUGCAUUUUAAAGGGCCGACAGACCAUCGUAAAAAAUCUGCACACCGUAAUGGAAAGCGUGUCUUCAAGAUGAUAAAAGAUGUAAAUGUAGUCUUUGGAAAGGGUCAUGGUAGACAACAUGUUCCGAACAACGAUAACGGACGUGCACCCAUGUGGAAGAAAAAGUCCAUAUUUUGGGAGCUACCUUAUUGGAAAAUCUUAAAGGUUCGCAACGCAAUAGACGUGAUGCACCUGACGGAUAAUCUUUGCGUGAACAUGCUAGGCUUUAUGGGUGUUUAUGGGACCUCGAAAGAUACAAUGGAAACAUCCGAAAAAGAGAGAUAACGGACAGCACUACUUACGUCCUGCCAAUUACAAUCUCAGCAAGAAAGAGAAGGAUAGGAUGUUUGAAUGUUUGAAUAAUAUGAAGGUCCUGUCUAGGUACUCCUCGAAUAUAAAGAGAAUAAUCAAUAUGAAACAAAAGAAGUUUACAAAUCUCAAGGCUCAUGACUGCCACAUGUUGAUGACCUAGUUGCUUCCGGUUGCACUGAUUAUUGCUGGUGAUGGUAGUGGCUCCAACCUUGCCAUAUCAUACACCGAUGAAGAGGGCACCCAGGCAGACAUGUUCCUCAACAUGUCCAAUGAUGGGAAUGAAGAGCCCGAGCCCAAGCAAAACCUUGCCGUGGCGGAAGGUUUCGGCGAGGUAUAUAUAAUUUAUAUUAUUUUACGCUACCGUUAAUGCUAUGUACUAAUUAACGAAUCUUGAACUGUUAGCCCUCUGGAUCAACAAAAGGGUAGAAGACCCGAGGUCGUACAAGGGUGAUGGAAGGGAGGCUUGUCAUCACGGAAGUCACGGAAGAGGGCAUGCCGGUUGCUCCUGAAAAAGUAGCAAAGAAGUACAUAAGUCAGAUCGGGGCAAUCGUAAGGGACAACAUGCCUAUCAGCAUCAGGGAAUAGAAGGGCAAAAGCACUAAUCCAUACGCGCUCCCGGAGACACAAAAGAAUAUGCUGUGGGAAGAUGUCAAGAGACAUUUCACAUUUCCUGAAGGAUAUAUUGAAAAGGAUGUGAAAGCAUUGACGCUGAAGAAGAUGGCUAAACAAUUCUAGACAUUAAGAAGAUGCUGGAUGCCAACUACCUUAAGAAGGGUCGAACUCCAGAUUUCAAUGUGCGGCCAAAGUUGAGGGACCACUGGGAGGCAUUUGUUGAAUAUAAGAGGAGUGAAGACGGUGUGAAAAAGAUCCAGACCAACACUACAAAUUAUGGUCAGAAGGAGUACCAUCAUCAUCUAGGGCGAGGUGGUUAUGGCACAGCAAUUCCCAAAUGGAAGAAGAUGGAACAAGACCUGAUCGAACAGGGUAUGGUACUUGCAACUAUUGAUUGGCCCGAAUGAUCAAAAAAUUGGUAUUACGCUCAUGGAGGCUCCUUGAGCCAAGAGGAUGGGACAUUGAUUUCAAUGAGACAAUAUGUCAGAAGGCCGAAAGGCUUAUAAAGAACAUUGAACAUUCUAAGGCUACGAGGUUGAAGGUGGACUGAGAGAAUGAUGAGCUCACAUUGGCCCUCGGUAAUCCCGAGCACCCAGGACAUUUCCGAGGGUUCGGGGUCAUUCCGUGGAAGUUUGCAUUCCGAAGUGAUAGCGUAUCGUACAGAAGCCGCAAGUGAAGAAAAGAAUAUAUCGAGGAGAGCUAGCGGCAGAUGCUAGAAUCCAAAGUGUAGUCACAAGAAAAAAGAAUGUUGGAGGAAAGCAAUUGUCAAGUGGCCCACGCAGUUGCGGAGUUGGCCCAAUCUGGAGCAUUGUCGAAUCCAAACUACGCCAGCCCUUCUCAAUGCCUCUUGAGCAGUUGUGCUUCUACAGGGCUCCCCGAUGCGCAGACGCCCAGGUUACCCGUGGAGGAGCAACAGUUCACUAUGGAUGCCAUCACGCAAUGCACCUCAUGUGAGCUGCAUGCACCGGUCGGCAACCUCACUAUUAAGGUAUACUUAUACAUAAUAUUUAUGCAAUCUUCUCAAAUGAUCCACGCCUCGGGAUCGGAGUUUAAUAACUUGUUUACUUCGGCUAUAUGUACAGGUGGCGUACGGGAGUGCGUUACCAAUCCUAGCAGGGUAGACAAGCCAUGGAAUGGAGAUUCCACCUGGCUACGCCAGCGUCAGCGUAGAGCAGCUUGUUGAUAGCCAAUAUGAAGGCCUAGAGCUUGACCUUCCAGGAGGCGACGGGGAAAGGACACUGGCAGAUGCGUUUCAUGGGAUCAUUCUAUGGUGCAAACGCUACAUCAUUAUUCCCGACACGGAGCCAUCUCCUCAAAGCUCAAGACCGCUCCCCAUAAAUCCCCAACAACGACCUUCUCGUCAUAGCUCGAGACCAUCAUCUCCUGCACAACCUGCUCCAGGACUGUCGUUUCCUGCUCGAUUAAGGUCUCCAUCUCCACCACAUCCUGGUGGUGGGAGCGACAACAAAAAUAACAACACCCCUCCCCGAUCACCGUCGUCGGGACUAAGAGCAGCCCCGAUGAAGGAACUUGCAGCACCACUAAAGAAGUCACGAGCAUCGCCUCCCAAGCAAAGACAAAGAAAGAAAAAAAACAAAGGAGCCUGAAGUGACGCGUAAGGAACGCUGGGAGGCAAUGAGUCAUGCAAAACAAUGGGCAGAAAAAUCCAAGCAGAGGCUAAUGCGUGGUUCAAGAAACAAGCCGAAGAAAAAAAGCAAGGGAGAUGGAGCCACCGCCAGUAAAUCGAAGAGAUUUUAAUUUUUUUAUCAGAAUGGAAGAAGGAGCCAAGAAAAGGAUACCACUACUAUCAAACUACGAAUGGGCUUUAGUAAAGGCUGAUGAGAGGGACAAAAGGAAAGGAAAGUCAUCUUCCAGUGGUAUUGUUCCCGUCCUCGGGCAUCUAUCAAAAAAAGAUGCUCAAAAGAUAGCACCAAUGCCCUUGGAUCAACAAGCACAACUAUUGAAAUUCAUGGAAGAAACAGGUAUUGGACUUAAUGAAUGUUUAGGGCAAGUUGAGCCACCAACUGCACCGCCAGUUCAAUCGAGAUGGACUUUUGAGCAAGGAAAAUCUGAACGAAUUCCAUCAAUGGUACAUGAAGGUGUCCACCAACUCGAGGGAGAUGUUUGGCCGUAAGGUAAAACCAAUAGAUUUUUACGGCGAAGACGAGAAAGUUCUGUAGCUAGAUUUGAAGGAUAUAUACGAAGUGUACCAUCAUGAUGCCCUGGACGUCUCUCUGAUCAGUGCCUGGGUUCUGUAAGUGUCCGUUUAUCUACAUGUAAAUUUUGGCUCAUAUCAUUAUUUUUUUUGCAUGAGUCACCGUACUAACUUUGUCUUCCAUUUUAUCUAGGAUGCUAAUUCAGACGUGCUGACGAGAGGCGUACCUACAUAUUGGCUUCAUGGAUCCAUCCGUAGUUAUCCAAAAACAGAUACAAUUAUCACCGAAAAAAACCUCGGUGGAAGUAUAUAAUUUUCUAGACAAACAAAAAUUCAAGGAUUUUAUACUACUUCCAUACAACUUCAAGUAAGUGUGUGUAUACCUUCUACUUUCAUUUUCUUUUUCCUUACCUGAUUAAAGUUAGUUAGCUCUAAUAUGCAUGAACAUUUUACGUACGCAGCUUCCACUGGAUCCUCAUUAUAAUUGAGCCUGAAAGAAACCAUGUCACUGUCUUCGAUUCAUUGAGGAAAGAUCCGGUGGAGUACCAAGACAUGCAAGACAUGCUAGGCGUGUAAUAAUUUUGGACCUUUAUCUCUAUGCAAAAGUUUAUUUCCUAAAUUUUAUCCCUGUUACACUAUAUCAUUCAUUAUUCUAAUCCGCAGCGCAUGGAAACAAUUCAUAAGGACACACAAAGGUCCAUUCAAAGAAAAACUUACAUGGAACACAGACUUCUUAGUACGUAUGAAGUCUGCACAUUUAGUAUAUUGUAUAACACGAAUAUUUCAUAUCAUAUUUUUUUCCGCACUGAAGUGCUGAAGAUAGGAACCCGGGAAUAAUCUAUGUGGCUACUACAUCUGUGAGCACAUGCGCAGUUUUAUAGGACCCAAGGGACUAAAGAUGACGCCACACAACUUUAAAGUACGUAAAAUAAAACUAUUACUAGUUAAUUAUUUUCUAGCUCCUUAUAUUUAAUUGUUCGUGUAACAUUCACAUAUUUCCAAAUUAUAGAUGCUAAAUAUUCAACAAGGACUCUUGAAGAAAGAAGUAGCGGCAAUAUGUGAAGGUCUCAUUGGAUUCCUAAUGGACGAGGUGGUAAAUCCACAAGGAGAAUUUUAUUACAAUGGAAGACAUUUAGACACUUCGAGCAACACCUCGACGGGAAGAUUGUAGAUAUAUAGUUUGAUUUGUAUAUAUAAUACGCACUAAGAUCGAUUUGUAUAUAUAGUUGAUUUCAUUAUACUAGUUGACUUGUGUAUAUAUAUAGUAAUUGUAUAAUUACUAAUUUCAUUUGUUUAAAUACUAGUUGAUUUCAUUAAAAAAAGUCUCAACUACUAAAGGUUAACAAAAGGGCUGCGGUACGUACGUGAUGCAUGAAAAUUUCAGGCGCCAUGCAGGAAAAUUUAAGUAGGACUUUAGUCCCGGUUGGGAAACCCAACCGGGACUAAAACCAACUGGGAUUAAAGGGUGACUUUACUCCCGGUUGAAGGUUCCGGGACUAAAGACCCCCCUUUUGUCUCGAUUGGUUUAUCUGGGAUGGAUUUUCGGGAGAUAUGCACGCUAUCAACCGGAACUAAAAGCGAGUUCUCUAUUAAUGUUAGUACUCUCUGCAGGGUCAGGUACAGUACAGUGGGCCUAUAUAUAUAACCUAUCAGCCCAAAAAUACACAACAAUGGCCACAGCAAGCUACCCGGUCCCCUAUAGUGUUUUUUUAGCAUAUUUAGACCUCUCCUUCAACAAUCUCUGUGAUUAAUUGUUCAUAUACCAUUCACAUAUUUCCAAAUUAUAGAUGUUAAAUAUUCAACAAGGCCUCUUGAAGAAAGAAAGAGUAGCGGCAAUAUAUGAAGGUCUCAUUGGAUUCCUAAUGGACGAGGUGGUAGAUCCACAAGGAGAAUUUUAUUACAAUGGACGACAUUUAGACGCUCCGAGCAACACCUCGACGGGAAGAUUGUAGAUAUAUAGUUUGAUUUGUAUAUAUAAUACGCGCUAAGAUCGAUUUGUAUAUAUAGUUGAUUUCAUUAUACUAGUUGAAUUGUGUAUAUGAAUUGUGUAUAUAUAUAGUAAUUGUAUAAUUACUAAUUUCAUUUGUUUAAAUACUACUUGAUUUCAUUAUAAAAAAAGUCUCAACUACUGAAGGUUAACAAAAGGGCCGCGGUGCGUACAUGAUGCAGGAAAAUUUCAGGCGCCAUGCAGGAAAAUUUAAGUAGGACUUUAGUCCCGACUGGGGAACCCUUUAGUCCCGGUUGGGUUUCCCAAUCAGGAGUAAAGGGGCACCCUUUACACCCGGUUGCUUUUACUAACCGGGAGUAAAGGGCCUAUCCCGCGCCUAGCGUGGCAGGCCCUUUAGUCCCGGUUGUUUCACCAACCAGGACUAAAGGGUGACUUUACUCCCGGUUGAAGGACCCGGGACUAAAGAUCCCCCUUUUGUCUCGAUUGGUUUAUCCCGGAUGGAUUUUCGGUAGAUAUGCACCCUACCAACCGGGACUAAAGGCGAGUUAUGUACUAGUGUUAGUACUCUCUCCAGGGUCACGUACAGUACAGUGGGCCUAUAUAAAUAACCUAUCAGCCCAAAAAUACACAACAAUGGUCACUGCAAGCUACCCGGUCCCCUAUAGUGUUUUUUUAGCAUAUUUAGACCUCUCCUUCAACAAUCUCUGUGGUACUAUUCCUAACUUCCUGGCAAAUUUCACCGACUUGACGAACUUAAAUGUUUGCUUCAAACUUAUUGAAGGAAAGUGAAGGACCGGACAGGUGACCAGAGAUGGUGAAUGGGAACCUUUAAAAAUUCUCUCUCUCCAAGAACAAAGCCUAUAUCCCGAUUGCCACCCCAAACACACCUCGCUCCUAAUCGCUAAGAUGACACAAGUCAACUUGAGACAAGUUCACCAAGAAACGAUUAGAAAAGCUAAAAGCGUAGCAGAAGCAAAGACGAUUAAGCUUGGAAGAAACUACACUUAAAAAGCUUGCUUGCCAAAUCACUAAUCAACCAGGCAAGAAAUUAAAAAGCUAGGCUUACUAGUGAUAGCAGCGAAGAGCUAUAUGUCGGCACAAGCAUAUAUGUGCCCAUGCUAGUAAACUAGGCUUACUAGGCUUACUAGUGAUAGCAGCCAAAAGCUAUAUGUCAUGAAGAAUUGCUGUUCCAAGGGGACGCUCCACCCUUCUGCAUGCAUGCCGUGCCCAUGCCGCCAGCUGCUCGCGCUCCUCCUCGCAGCGAUUUGAGCCUAGCUCAGCUGGAAAGAUUGUUUGUGGUGGGACUAAAUUAUUGCAAUAUUUAAUCAAUACUAUCUUUUCAGCAAUAGAUGAUGUGCCCGUCGACAGUUUCGUAAAAAGAAAAUAUGUGAGUGCCUUGGUGUGAAGCGAAAACAUAUCAAAAACAUACCUUGAGAAGAGUAGGGUGAAACGAUGCAACAGCGGAGGUGUAAAUGGAAACUUUGUUCUACCUGUCUCACGUAAUUAGAAUAGUCGAAUGUUAAUGAAAUUGAUUACUGUCUCUAGUUUUGGAGAUGUCAUCUCCUCCUUUCUCCCUCCUCCUGCCCGCCCAUGCCGCCGGAUGCUCGCUCGUCCUCGCGCCACUGCUCGAUCAUCUUUGCAUCGUCCUUGUCCACUGCUCUUAGUCCACGACGACUUCCACGUCCUCGUCCGUCCCCAAGCUUAUAAAUUGAUUGUCCACCGGGCUACUUCAAUAAUUAAUAUUCCGAUGCAUGUUAGGUCUAUUAGUCUAUGUCCACGUCAGUCAUCACUCAUCACCACCCGUUUGAAUGUGGAUAAGGCACCAACUAAGUCACUCAGGUACUUGACAUAUAUAUAAAAUAUAUACGUGUAUUUAAAACUUGUGUAUGUGGUACACGUGGACUUACAAGCAUCAUACGGAAAUGAUAUUCACAUCGAGGUGUUGUCGACGGUAAAGUUUGUGCAAAUCCUCGAUCGGUCACAAUCUGGUUCCUGGUUGGCACCUAGCCUUCUUAGAAAUUGAUUGAUUGAUGGCGAGCUCUUUUACCGUAGACAAUGCUAGCCUAGUAUAAAAGCAUCCGAUGAUCAAGAUUAAUUGUAUAUCACUAAAACCUUUACUUGUGGUAUGAAUAGUAUGCAUGAGUAGUAUAGGUAGUAUAACGUUAUGAUGGUAAAAAAUACACAAAUGCCAUAAGUAUAAUUUUAUUUUUAACACUAGAAUAAAGUUUAAAAGACCAUUCAUUUAAUAUAUCACUUUUUACAAUAUAAUAAUUACUAAAUUAUCUAUCUUACUAUUACUAAUUGGAGGCUCCUUUGAAGUCUUCAGGUGAAGCCACCUAGGAUUCCUAGGUGGACACUCUAGAAAAAGAGAGAAAUCCUAGAAAUUCUCACAAAAAAGCAAAACAUCCAACCAUCGAUCCAUAGAUUCAAAUCAUCAUAGCCAUUGAAUCUACUAUGUUUUCUAAAAAAUUACCCACCUAUGCCAUUAUGAAAAUAGCCUAAAGUAACCCCCUAAAUAUAUAUAUAAAUUACCCACCUCUGCCAUUAUAUAAAAUAAAAUAAAGUAAUCCCCUAAUCUUCAUAAAAAUUACCCACUUAUGCCAUUAUAAGCAAUAUUUAAAAUAACCCCCUUAUUUGCAACUGAAUUGCCUACCACUAUUACUUAAAAAACUUAAAGUAAACCCUUAAAUUUGCAUCUAUAUUACCCACACAUGCUAUCAUUAAAAAUAACAUGAGGUAACCCUACGUUUGAAUCAAAUAGCCUUAAUGAAAAAUAUACAACAAUAUAUGAUUCAAAAUCGUCUAUAUCUUGCACUAUUGGUAUACGAUAUAAUAAUUAAGGUAUAUAUGCAUGAUGUGUGUCACCAUUAUAUAAAGUGAUGGGAAUAUAGAUUUUUAUGCUAAAAUUGUAUCUCAAACUUAGGGUUCAUUAAACAAAUUCAAGUGCAUACCUGCGAUCCAAAGUGAAAAGUUAAAGAUUAUAAAUGUUACUAAUUAAAAUCUAUCACAAUUGGAUGAAGAUAUUAAGUAUAUAUCUACAUAAGUAUUGUGUUCGAACAUUUAACAAACGAGAGAUAGCUUAUGGUAAUAGUUUUGUUGCAAUGUAGUCUCAUUUCUUUUUCCAUUGGAGACUUCGCAUUAGUUCCCAUGAGACAAGCUAGAAAAAAGAGAGAAAUUCUCAUAAGAAUUAAAAACAUCAAACGCCAAUCCUGUAAACUCUAAUAAUCAUAGCCAUUGAUCUAUUAUAUUUUCUAAAAAGUUACCCACCACUAUCACUGUGAAAAUAUUCAAAAAUAAGCUCUAAACCUAUAUCUAAAUUACCGAGCUCAGCUAUUAUAAAACAUAAUCUAAAGUAUCCUCAUAAUCUUCAUCCAAAUUACUAAUACACAUCAUUAUGAAACAUAACUUAAAAUGUCAUUCUAAAAUUUUAUCUAUGUUACCCACGUAUGUCAUUAUUAAAAAUAACCUAAAGUAAACAUCUAAAAUCGUAAUCUAAUUAUCUUCAUGUGCAUCAUAUAUAAAUGUCAAAAAGUAAACUAAUAUAUGAUUCUAAAUUACCUAUUUAUGUCAUUGUUAAUAUAAAAAUACUAAGUUAAAGUAUAUAGACAUGAUGAGUGCCACCAUUUAGACCAUUUAUACAUAUACGUGCGGAAUCGAUGAAAAAUAUUGAUUUGUAUGCUAAACAUAAUGUAUGGAGGAUUGGAGGUGUGAUACAAAAUGAUAAAACUAUGAAUAUGGAUGAAAAAGUGCAUAGAGUAAUUAUUAAUUAAAAAUCAAUCACAACUAGACAAAGAUAGGUAUAUAAGUAUUAUGUUGAAGUAUUGGAAAAAUAAGAGAGUAGUAGGUAAACAAUUUUGAUUAUUAGCUAAGAGUUUAAUUUCUAAAUAAUUUUUAAAUACAAUAGCUUCUAAAAAUAUUAGCCCGUGCGGGAGCACGGGUUGAUGAACUAGUAAUAAUGAAUAAUUAGGUCUUCUAUAUAUAUAACGGAGACUUUGUCCAUCGUCGUUGACUCAAUAAUUCCGGUGCAUCCGAGGACUACCCGUCCAUAUGUGUCCUCAAUAUCAGUCAUCACCAGCCACAUAUGGAUGUGGAUCGAGCACCAACCAAAGGCAACUAGGCAAGCUUCAAUACGUAUGACUAGUAGAUCUGCAGGACAUAUCAAAGCUAGCCAAACUAUAGUUUACGAGAUUAAACCGGUUAAAUGUUUUCUUGCUCAAUAAUCGUUGUCGUUAACCUUGUGUAUUGUUAGUCAAACUGUAUAUUGGUACUGUUUGUCUCUAAUAAUUAUUUUCUUCAGCCCCCACCUUGUGUCAGAGCUUUCGCACUAUAUGUACGUCCUGUUAACCUCUUUCAAUAAAUAGGGCAAAUUAUAACGAAGGGAUCACAUCGCAAAAGUGCACCUUGCAAGGAUACUCACAUAAGGAUGGAGUGGUUAGCCGAUAUUGUUAUGUUUUUCAGGAAACUAUUUUACAAUUUCCUUUUUUUCUGUUGUUUUCACCAAAUCCAACCCUUUUAUCUUAUGCUGUUAGGAUGCCUUGUUUGUUCUAAGAGCAAUAAUACUAUAGGAGAUGGAUGAAAUAUACCCAAGUGACAACAUGAUCAACUCUUCCAUUGCUUUCAUUUUGUCGUUGGCAUCAUGGGUGUUUUCUUGUAUAAUGAAACAGAGAAUAACUGUUCAAUAAUGUCGGCCCGUGUAUCUGAAUAUGUGAUACAAACUCCUAUGUCUCAUUCAAUACUAUAGUUUUUUUUCCGAGGGAUUCAAUACUCGUAGCCGCCAAUAAUUCACUCGGUUCUGCAUUUACUUUUUUUUUGUGCCACCUAGCUAAGGAAUUAAGGUACCUAACUGCAUAUAUGGGCGUAUUUUGCCUAUAUAUGCCCAUGCAUUUUGUCAGAUUAGAGAUGAGGAAGCUGCCUAACUGCUCUUGCCUUACAAGUUAGCAAUUAGCAUGAAACGCUUAGUAGCCAUGCCUCAAGUUCUGUGGUUUCUCCUUGCUAGCUCACUAGCAAUUUCCCAUCUAGCAGUGGCCACGCCGUGCCAUCUCCAAUGCUGGGAUCGCAUCAUUGCCCUAGCAAGUGCGGCGGCGUACGUAGAGGUCCCUACCCCUUUGGCAUCGGCGCCGACUGUGCCCGGCCAGGCCAUGAACACUUCAGAGUUAUUUGUAACAACAGCUUUUACCCUCCGAGACCAUACACUGGUAAUCUGGAGAUCAUCAGCAUCUCAUUGGAUGCCGGUGAGGUGCGUUUGGCGGUCCCUGUUGCUUACAUCUGCUACACAUCGUCCAACACCUUCGAAUCCGGCAAAGGCUUCACUUGGAGAGUCUACGACCCGUAUCUCAUCUCGACUGCGAGAAACGUCUUCACGGCCAUCGGCUGCAACACCCUGGCAGUUCUGCGAGGCCGGAACGGUUGGAGCUACUUCACCGGCUGCAUCACCUCCUGCGCAAGCUUGAAGGAGGCAGCCCGCGAUGGCGAGGAGUGCACCAGGCUCGGCUGCUGCCAGACGCUCAUCCCGAGAAAUCUUAGCACGAUUGGGGUCGCAUGGAACAACGGCACCAGAUCAAAUUUGUCGAGUGUUUUUUUUUUGCCGAGUAUUUUUUUCGGACACUCGUCAAAUAAGCUCUUUGUCGAGUGCCGAGAUAAAAACACUUGGCAAAGAAAAAACACUCGGCAAACAAGGGGCUUUGCCAAGUGUAAAAAAAACAGUCGGCAAAGAGGGGGUUUGCCGAGUAUUUUUUUGACACCCAGCAACUAAAUAAGUUUUUUUUCUCUUCUCACCUUGAAAUUUUUUCUACUCCCUACAUACAACAUGUGGUACUCCAUAUUAAAAUUUGGUACAUUUUUGGAUUUGUUUGCUAUAUUUAAUUAAUUAAUUGCAUUUCAAGGAAAUUUUUGGUAUAAGUCAAAUUUGAACUGCAAGUGAUUCAAAUUAUAAAAUAAAAUGAGUAGAAAAAUGAUAUCCAUGUUAUUUAGCCCAGUUCGAAGCCUUACUAUGAAAUGAAAAGAAAAUUUGAAUAUUUUGUUCAGGAAACACGACCACGAAUGUAUGGCCGAAUGAUUUUUAAAUUGUAAAAAAAGCGAGCGAAGUCUGAAAAUCAUGAGAUUUGUUAUGAUGUGAUGAUAUCAUACGUGGAGGUUGUGGUAAAAAAUUAAGAAGGUUUCGCACAUUUCGUCACGUACGAUGUUUACAAACUGAAGCAUCUCAGAAGAAUAAUAGUAGCAUUGAGAAGGAUUCGAUAAGAUUUAGAAUCAAAGUGACGGUUGAGUUUUGAUUUGACUACAAAACUUUUUGUAUAGGCAAUAGAGAACAUAUAUUGUUUUAUGUGAAAUUUUGGUAAUUUUUUGGAACCGUUUGAUAUUUUUAAUAAUGUAUUAAAGGCAAUUAGAGAAUAUUUGCCAAGUGUCCCCAUCUAACACUCGGCAAACAAAAAAAGAGAAGAAAAUAAAUACAAAAAAAACCCUCACUCUGCACCCCUCCCGGCCUUUUCUUCUCCACACGACCCGCACCCCUCCCUUCGCCCCGCACCCAGCCCGCUCUCCCUCCCCUUCCCUGCUACACGCGGCCCCCCUCUCCCUCCUCUUCCCUGCCACUGGCGGUGGCUGCCCCUCUCCCUCUCUUCCCCAGCAGCGGCCGCCCCUCUCCCUUCCCGUCGGCGCCCCUCCCCCUCCUCUCCCCUCCUCCCUCCCUCCUCUCCGGAUCUGGCGGGGACGACGGUCCUCCUCCCCGGAUCCGCCACCAUCCCGUCCCUCCCUCCCUCUCCCUCUCCCUGCCACGCCCGCCCCUCCCCUCCGGCCGGAUCCGGCCCUCUCCCCUCCCCUCCUUCCCGGCGGCCCUCCGCCCUCCUCCCUCCUCCGGAUCCCGCAUCCCUCCUCCCUCCCGGCCGGAUCUGUCGGCGGCGCGGCCCCUCCCUUCUCCCGGCGACCGCUUUGACCAGGCGGCCCUCCACGACUUCGCCCGAGAGUCCAUGUCCCUCGCCGCCUGCCGCGGCCACCCAUCCAUCAUCAAGAUCGUGGCCACCCACGCGGUAGAUCCUCUCCGGCACCAAGCACCUGCACAAGGCCAGCGUCCUGCAUAGGGACAUGUCGGCAUCAUGGGUGGCGGGUCAGGACGGCGGCGCGGCAUGGUGGCGUGGUGGGCGGCGUGGUGGCAUGGUCGGCGGCGACCAUGGCGGGCGGCGUGGUGGCGGGCGGCAGCAGGCAUGGUGGCCGUGGUGGCGGCGUGGAGGCGUGGCGGUGGCCGUGGUGGCGGCGUGGCGGCGUGGCGGUGGCCGUGGCCGUGGUGGCCGACGGCCGGUGGCAGCGUGGUGGCUGAUUUGUUUUUCUAAAAAAUGUUGCCGAGUGCUUUUUUUGGCACUCGGCGAAGCUUGGCCGAGUGCUUUUUUGGCACUCGGCGAAGCUUUGCCGAGUGUCUGAUUAAAAACACUCGGCAAAGUUACUUUGCUGACGCUUUUUUUGCCGUGUGUCCUUUGCUGAGUGUUACAGCUUUUGCCGUAGUGCCUGCCUGGAGCUACAGCCCUUGUAGUUACGCCAUGCUAGCCGAGAAAGGCAGGUAUGUGCAUCAUACAGCUUUGCAGUGGUACGUGGUAUGCCAUAAGUGAACUGAGUACUCAUUCUCAUUUGUGUUAUCUAUGAAAUAAUAUUUUUUAAAUUGACUAAAUAACAUUUAUGUUCAUGUGUAAAUAUUUGAAAUAAUUUUGAAAUAAUUUGGCAAGUAUUUAAAUUAUUUUCAAACCAAUGAUAUUUUUUAUUUCCAUCACUAAAUUUUUAUUCCACUUAUUGGAUAUCUACACCUUUAACAGAAAACCUAAACAAUUUUGACUUAAUUAUUUUCUUUAACUCAAAUACCCAUUAAGUUGUCACAAACAUACAAGUUUUUUAUUUGAUGUUAAGGAUUGAAGGAUUAAGUUUGAAAGAUGUAUUUUUUAAUAUAAAUUUUUUCAUACAAUCUCGGAUGAAUACGAAUGUAAUAUCAAAGUUGUAGAGUUAGAUUAAAUCUAAAAUUUUGUAGUUGAUAAUUUUUUCAUUUAAAGUUGUUUAAUAGCUCAAAAUAUCAUUGUAAGCUCUGUAAUUUCAAAAUCAUGAAUUUUAAAAUUUUCAAAUGACCUCGGAUGCAAACAACCUCUUGUUGGCGCUAGAAAUCGGUCAACCGAAUCCCAGCGACCGAUACACGACCCGGGAGAAUCUGCUUAGCUCCUGUUCGGGUGAAAGCCCUGGUGCGGUUCGCGCGGCGUGCCAGCCAAUCUGACCUGUUGAUUGGCAAGGAAGAACACGUGUUAAAUUCAGAAACUACGAUCGGCUAAGUUUCCGAUCGAGAAGAGCUUAUCGGCAAAUCGGCCGAUUUACUAUGGUAGUGAAAUCGGCUAUAAGACAGCACGAUCACUGUAGCUUUGUAGAUAGAAAAAUACUAAAGUAAAUCGGUACAAAGCUUUAUAGAAACAGCACUAGGAAAAGAUCUAAUCGGCAAUAAACAGAUCUAACAGCGGAAAGUAAUGAAAGCCGAUACUACCGAUUCCUAGCGAGAUAACUGGUGAUAAAAACUAGGAAAACAGGUAGAAAACCUAUGAAUCUAGUCGAUAUCGAUAACUGAUGAACAAAUCUAAACGAAACAACAGCGAUGCGCCGGAAGUUAAAGCUUAGAUAUUAUUCGAUAAACGGAACUUACAGAAUCGACCGGAGAUCAAGAUGAUGCAGCCCCACCAACCCGCACGAACUCGUGAGAAGAAAAAGUAACGGCGAAAUCGCCUGCUCGAAAGUAAGUACGAAGAAUAAAGUAACUUGUUGUAUUGAUUGAUUGUUGUGUUUACAGAUUUACAAAGGUAGCUAUUUAUAGCCCCGUACAAAUAAUCUUCUUAACCGACUAGAACUCUAUCUCUAAUUCAAACAGAAAACAAAUAUCUACAAGCGCAAUCCGUGCCAAACUAAUUACCCCACGCUUCGUGGGCUGAACUCCACCUUAUCCUUUUAUCUUUCCAAGCCCAUACAGGCCCACAUUAGUCCACUUUCCUGAUCGGCCGAUUUCUUAUCGGCAAAGGAUUGCCGAUUGGGAACCUGACGCAUCCGCCUUGAAGCGAAGUAAAAGCUCCCGACCGAUUCCGCAUCAUAGCACCUUUUGGCCGAUUUCCAUCCGCACUUCUUCGACUUCUUUACUCUUUGGCGCCGAUUCUACUGAUGACGAAAUCCGGCGUCAACACAUGCCCCCCAGUUUCGGAGUAAAACAUAGUCUUUUACUUCGAAAUUCUUUAUAACCUCCCCUCCGAAACGGCCGCAGUGAAAAUAUCCUUCCGUUGCGCGGUCUCCCAGCUGAUCAUUGCAAUUUUUGAAACGGGCGCCCACGACAGCCACUACCCCGAAAAACCCGACGCGCCGGUGCGGUGAAAAUUCCAUCUUUACCCUUUCUUCAGACGUCCUAUAAAUAAUAUUUCACCGCAGCUCAUCUUCAAGCUCACGUCUCUUUUCCCAGCGCGCGCACAUCUUUUCUUCUUCAUCUCUCCCUUGCCAUCGAAGCCUUUCCAGCUCUAUCUCCUGUCGCUCCUCCCCCUUUUCCUUCAAUGGCGACUCCUUCCGGCGAUUCCCCCGCACGCGAUGCUUCAGGGACCGUACCCCCGAUGGAGGUAGCGAUGGCCGUCACUUCUUCCGCAGAUACAAGAGCUUCAUCAGAAAUUCCAAUGGCGGUCCCCAUCACAGCUCCAUCACCUGCGCCAGCGUCGGCGACCACGCCGAUUACCCAGAAUUUUAUCCCGGAGGUAAGUACCGAAUCCUCCCCUUAUCGGCAAUAUUUUAGAUCUGCUCCUUACAUUCCUAUGCCCUUUUUCCUUUUUAGGCAGUUAGAGAUAGAAUUACCAUUCACCUCACGAACAGUCCUGGCCUUGUUUGCCUUGGUCCCAUGGGAAACCCAGAUCCGGCGAUUCUUAUAGAUUUGGAAACUGAUCGGAUACCUUUCAAACGGUCUGAUAUGAACUUAGAUCAAUGGGCAAGCACUUUUAGAUCUUGGCCGAAUGAAACCCCAGGUUGGAGGGAAUGGUACCAACGGGUGGCCGCCUCCAGGAGUGUCUCAUGGGAUGAGCUCAAAAUCGGCCAAUGUAUCAACCUCUCCCUGUCACAAAUGGAGAAGAAUGAGCCGCUAGUGAUGGCAGCCUCUUAUUUUUGGUCUGACGCACUUAAUGCGUUCUUAUUUGGACAUGGUCCUAUGACUCCCACUCUGGCCGAUGUGGUCCUCUUGACCGGCCUGGACAUAUCCUCCCCUGACACGCCUUUCCAACUUCUGACCGUACCGUCGCAUCGGCUGGACACAAGAGGAAUCGGCGGCUGGAAGGGCUUUAUUAGUAAUAACAAGAAGACCGGUACUGUUGAUAACAGGGAGCACACUGCUUUCCUGAUGAUGUGGCUAGAAAAACACCUUUUCUGUGGAAGAGCCGCCGGCUCAACAACCAACACCCAAUCUUUAGCCGAGGCACUGUCCAAAGGAAGCCACAUCCCUCUCGGGAAACAUCUUCUAGGUGCCGUGUACCACAUGCUCCACCAAAUCGGCACAAAACUUUCCAAGGGAGAACCGAUCGGCAACCCAAGUGGGCCUUGGUGGUUCGUCAAUCUAUGGUUGAACCUUUAUAUGAACAGGAUCACCCGGUAGCCAGUGGACCAGAUGACAUUCCCCAAUAUUGAAUCGGCGGAAGACCCUACCGAGCGUCGCCGAUGCAUGUCUUAUGGCGAAGCAGCGUCAGCUUUUCCAGGCUGUGCGUACUCCGCCUCAAAAGUAGCCGAGUACUUUCGGUGCUUCUAUAAUGGAUUUAAGGAGGACGCAACUUAUCUGGUUUCCAUACCAGCGAGACAUCCCAGUCUUUGAACUCCCCUCCUGCUUCGAUUCGACUUCUGGCCGGUUUGAUGAAGACCUUUAUGAAGAAUUGAUCAAACCAGGACUCUUACCGGCCAACUUCUUUUCGGGGAAGGAUGCCCCUUCGUACGAGUUCUACAAUCCAUCUACUGCUGCCCGACAAUUCGGCAUGGGUCAAUUGCCGAUACGGGUAUAUUUCGCUGGCCGAAUCAAGUUCAGAGAAGCGCUUAAAACCGGCCUGGAUUAUUGUCGGCUGCGAGACCGAAUUCCGGACUCCAGUACGAUUAAUUUGAAUGAAUGGCUACUAUGUCCAUUUGCCAUCCAGCCGUUCAAGCUUUGGUGGGCCGAAUGGAAGCAAUUCUUAUUCUGCAACUCAGCAUCGGCAUACUGCAAUCUUCUAGAUCCGGCCAACAUUGAUUCCAACGCCGAGGUAUUUCUGAUUACCGAUUUUGUUCUUUUCGACAUAAUUGAACACUAAUAAUUUCAUUGUUUCUUUAGGCCGAGAAUCGAGCCCCUCCAACACACAGCCGCAGUGGUCGGCUAAUGGAGAGCUAUCCGUACACCACUUAUCCUCUUAUCGGCUACGACGCUCCGUCAGUUGACAUGAUUGCUGGCCGAUCGAAGAAGGUUCAUAAGAAGGUCACCAAGAAAACCAGUCGCCGAGUUCGAGCUCGUACGGAAUCGGUGGAUCCUCCUGUGCCCGUAUCGGCAGAAACCUUGACUGCACCGCCCCAGGCCAUACAGAGUGCUGGUACUCAAGCCAUCACACAGGCCGGGGCGGCUGCCGCCUCACUACUGUUGGAAGCUUUACAAGUGAGUUCAAGCUUUGCCCUUUCCGAUUUGUCAACUUGGUAUUAACUCUCUUUAAUUAUGUACCUCUUAGGGUUCCUCUAUGGAAAUGCCCGAGUCGGCGACAACUCGACCAGAUGCCAGCGCACCCUUGCCUUCAUCCAUUGAGGUACGGUGCUUAUCUUACGGACUCCCCUCGGGUACUUGCAUAAUAUAUCUAACCGAUUCCUUGACGCAGACCCUCGGCACACCGAGCGUUUCUCGACAACCGAUCCCUUUUCAGGGAGCUGGUCCGAGCACCGUGCCGAUUGUCGUAGAGUCCUCUUCAUCGGAUGAACCUAUGACACAGGCUACUGAACAAGACACAACGGCUUUGCAAGCGCGGCACGAAGAGAUCCGUUUUAAGAUGGUAAACUCUUAAGCCAGCUCUACCAGCCGAUUUGUUCUGUUCCCCGGCCGAUUCACCCCUUUUUCUUUAUUCUUUCAGGAACAAGACUCUCCCAACAACAGCCUUUUCUCUUUCGCGGUUGCUUUAUCUGAUGACGAGGAAACCACAUCCCGUCAAGUCGCCUUAAGCUCCGUUCCUGAUGACGUCCGGGCUAAACUCACCAAUAUCCGAUCCCUCCUUCAAGGGGAUAUCGGCCGAUUGGUAGAAGACGCCUCGCCGAUUCGGCAGCUCUUCAGUGACGUCAGCGGACGAGUACCAGAGGAAGCGGAAGAGGCCUUGGCACCGACGGCCUUUAUUGAGUCCAUGAGGAUUCCCGUUUUUAGAGCCCUUCGUCAUAUGGCCGAUCGCGCGAAACUGGCCAAGACCCGUGAAGAUGAGAAUGCUUUCAAGCAUCAGGCUCAAGAAGCGAAUCGGCGGAUCCAUGUCUUGGAAGACUCACGGCCGGCGAUCAUUAGUGAAAUAGAUCGCCUCAAACGACGGAGGGCGGACCUUGCCAAAGAGAUGGAGCAAGUGACCAAGGCAAUCAGCGCCGAAGAGAACAAGCUUCAAGAGUUACCCUCAGCUAUUGCCGAUCUGACACGGGAGAGGCAGCGUUUUGCCCAGGAGGCUCUGAGACUCCACCGCAUCGCUUCGGAAGUCCCUGGAUCGGCAGAAGAAGACCAACGGGUCCUUGACUCUGCCAAUCAGAUCCGGCGUCGAGCCAUCACGGCUAUCGAUACCCUUUUGGGUAAUCUGUAAAACACUGACCGUUUUGUACGAACAUUUACUGCCGUCUUUGACUGACCCUUCGCGAUGCCUUCUAUUUACUGCCUUCCUUAUUACCGAUGGGACGUGGCCUCAUCAGAUUUCCCUGUAUUUCCCCAUAAAUAUCGACCUCGGCGCCUCCUCCCGAUAACAUUGAUCUGGCUCCCAUCUCACUUUUCCUCUUCCUCUCAUCGGCGCAACUACUUUGUCAUGGCCUCGUCGUCGUCCUCUUCCGUCAACCAGGUGACGCUCCGCCUUCUCCUUUCAGAUCUUAGGAAGAGAAUGCGCCAACUUAUUCCCUCUCUGUUUCAGCCUCAACGCCUCAGUCCGGAACUUGUGCGCGCCAUCGAGUGCCUACACUCUGAGGACCCUUUGACCCCGGAGGACAAGGUUCUAAUUUUAGCUCAUCAAGCGGAGCUCCAAGACCACAUUACCGCAGAUGCUCGAGUGGUCUUGGACGCCGUGGUGAACGAACACCGCCAUCGAUCUCGAGCCAUGAGGGGUCAUCGCCGUAACGUUCCCGGUGGUGACAUCACUUCGACGACCUGCACGAUCUUGGAUUUCCUGGAAAGGAACGGUAACCCGCGGCUUCCUACCGAUAGGGCCCGUCCGCUUCCUCGGAACCCGCGGCCUUCCACCGAUAGGGUCCGCAUGCUUCCUCGGCCCGUCGUUCUGGCGGCGGCGGAGGCCUCGCGCCUUCGUGCUCUGGAGCGGAACGGGGAAUCUUCUCAGAAGAAGGAUAAUUAGUUUGUUUUUGUAAUUUUUUGUUCUAAGGGCGACUUAAUGUUUUGUCGGCCAUGUAAUCGGUCGCCCGUACCGAACGAAUGUAAUCGACCCGAAUGAAUGUAAUCGGCCAUAAUGAAUGUAAUCGGCCGUUCCGGUCGAUUUCCUGUGCGUCUUAAAACCGAAUCGUAUCGGUCAUGUUUGACUGUGUUUAUUCCUUUAGGCCCCGACCCAUAUACUUGGGUAAUAUCUUUUUAAGUACCUCCCAUUCAGAGCCCUAGUGAAUUCUUCCCCUUCUGUCGUUUCCAAAAUAUAUGCAUUCCCUGGAGCGCAUCUGCCGAUUUUAUACGGCCCUUCCCAGGUAGGAGACCAUUUGCCGAAUUUAGGAUCUUUCGACCCGAUCGGUAGUACCAACUUCCAUACCAAAUCUCCAGGGGAGAACUGCUUGACUUUGACCUUUUUAUCGUACCACCUGGCCACUCUCUUUUUAUUCUCUUCGAUACUUAUUAGAGCUCUCAGUCGUUGGCCUGCCAAAUCAUCAAGUUCUUCCUUCAUCAGAGCCGAGUAGUCAUUGGCCGACAACUGGUCCUGAAGUAAAAUGCGCCUCGAUCCUGCCCUCGACUCCCAUGGAAGUACUGCAUCGUGACCGUAUACCAACUGAUAGGGAGAUAAUUUGGUAGCCCCAUGACAGGCCAUUCUGUAUGCCCACAAGGCUUCGGUCAAACAUAGGUGCCACUUCUUCGGGUAUUCUUCAAUCUUCCUUUUGAUCAACUUAAUUAUUCCCUUGUUGGAAGAUUCUGCUUGACCAUUGGCUUGAGCGUAAUACGGAGAAGAAUUUAGCAAUUUGAUGCCCAUAUCGGUCGUAAAUUCCUCAAAUUCCCCCGAUGUGAACAUUGUUCCUUGAUCGGUUGUUAUAGUUUGAGGGAUACCGAAUCGGUAGACGAUAUGGUCCCUUACGAAAUCGGCCAUGAUAGCCGACGUUACAGUUCUUAGUGGGAUUGCUUCCACCCAUUUGGUGAAAUAAUCUGUAGCAACCAGAAUAAACUUGUGCCCCUUGCUCGAUGGUGGAUAAAUUUGGCCGAUAAGGUCUAUUCCCCACCCUCUGAACGGCCAUGGUUUGAUUAUGGGAUUCAUUGCCGACGCGGGUGCACGCUGGACAUUUCCAAACUUUUGACACUCCUGGCAACCCUUAUAAUAUUUGAAACAAUCUUCGAGGAUCGUAGGCCAAUAGUACCCGUUGUUUCUGAUCAUCCACUUCAUUUUAUGUGCUGAUUGGUGGGCUCCGCAUACCCCUUCAUGGAUUUCUCCCAUUAGAGUCUUGGCUUCUUCUGUCCCAAGGCAUUUAAGAAGAACACCAUCGAUCGUUCGGUAGAACAGAUCAUCUUCGAGCAAUACGUACUUGGUAGCGUGAAAGCGCACUCGUCGCUCCACCUUUUUAGAUGGAUCCUUCAGGUAAUCGGCAAUUUCUUUGCGCCAAUCGUCAGCUGCAAGCUCUAAGGCCAUGGCGCCCGGAAUCGGCCGAUACCCAGAUGCAUGUUGAGCGAGUUUGUUCGCUUCCUCAUUGCGGUCUCUUGGGACGUGCUCGAUUACUGCCGAUCUGAAUUCUUUUAAAAGCUGUAAGCAAUCUUCGUGAUGAAUUCAUAAUAUGUCAUCUUUGCACUCAGCCCUCCCGGUUAGUUGAUCCACGAUUAGCAUCGAAUCUCCGAAGACCUCAACGGAAUCGGCCUUGACUUCUCUCAAUAAUCGUAAGCCUUUCAAUACAGCUCUGUACUCCGCUUGAUUGUUUGUGGCGGCGGUUUCUAUCAGCAGAGAAAAAUCAUAUCUUGCCCCCCGAGGCGAUAUGAUAACGAUGCCGAUUCCCGAUCCGACUCCGCAUGAUGACCCAUCAAAAAAUAACUGCCAAGGUGCUAGUUCCACGAAGGCGAUCUCCGGUCCACAAUGCUGGGCGACGAAAUCGGCCAUGACUUGACCCUUGACGGCUUUUGCCGAUUCGUACCGUAGGUCAAAUUCUGAUAAAGCUAAAAUCCAUUUACCGAUUCGCCCUUUCAAUAUCGGCAGUGACAGCAUGUAUUUCACUACAUCGUCUUUGCAUACGACUAUACACUCUGCCGACAGUAGGUAGUGUCUGAGUUUGGUGCACGAAAAGUAAAGACACAAACACAAACGCUCUACUGGAGGAUAUCUUGUUUCGGCAUCCAGGAGUCUUCUACUGACGUAAUAAAUUACCCGUUCUUUGCCUUCAAAUUCUUGGACUAGAGCCGACCUAAUAGCUUUCUCAUCGGCUGAUAAAUAUAGUUUAAACGGCUUACCCGUUUGAGGGGGAACCAGGACUGGGGGUGAAACCAAGUAUCGCUUGAUGUCUUCUAACGCCUUGCGCUGUUCUUCUCCCCAUAUAAAUUCUUGAUCUGGCUUCAACUUCAAAAGUGGUGUGAACGCCUGAAUCCGUCCAGAUAGAUUAGAUAUAAAUCUUCUGAUGAAGUUUACCUUGCCGAUUAGAGACUGUAGCUCAGUUUUGUUCUGUGGAGCAACGACUUUGUUGAUGGCCGCUAUGGUCUUCUGAUUGACUUCUAUACCUCGCUCGUGCACCAUGAAUCCUAAGAACUGUCCGGCGGAGACGCCGAAAGCGCAUUUGUUGGGAUUCAUCUUAAGACCAUGCUUUUUGGUACACUCUAGCACCCUUCGCAAAUCGGCUAAGUGUUCCUCAUGGCUUUUGGACUUGACCACAACGUCAUCGAUGUAGAUCUCUACCAGGAGGCCAAUGAGUUUGUGAAAAAUGUAGUUCAUGGCUCUCUGGUAUGUAGCCCCAGCAUUCUUUAAACCGAAAGUCAUCACCACCCACUCGAAUAAACCAAGAUGGCCUGGACAUCUGAAAGCUGUCUUGGGUAUGUCCUCUUCGGCCAUAAGUAUUUGAUUGUAUCCGGCGUUUCCAUCCAUGAAGCUAAUAAUUUUGUGCCCUGCGGCAGCGUCGAUCAGCACAUCGGCCGUAGGCAUGGGGUAACCAUCCAUCGGUGUGGCCUGAUUAAGAUUUCUGAAAUCGACGCAAACGCGCAGCUUCCCGUUUUUCUUGUACACCGGCACGAUAUUAGAAAUCCACUCGGCGUAACGACAUUGCCGAAUAAAUUUCGCUUCAAUUAGCCGAGUUAUUUCGGCUUUUAUGUCUGGUAAAAUUUUAGGAUUGCAUCGCCGUGCGGGUUGUUGGUACGGCCGAUACCCUGGUUUUAUGGGUAGCCGAUGUUCAACAAUAGAUCGAUCUAAUCCGGGCAUCUCAUGAUACUCCCAAGCAAAACAAUCCUUGAAUUCUCUUAAUAAAUUUGUCAAUUUACACUUAUACUCUGGAUCUAAAUUUGCACUAAUAAAAGUCGGCCUUGGUUUGGUCCCGUCACCUAAAUCUACCAUCUCCAAUGAAUCGGCCGACGUGAAUCCGUGUCCCAGCUUCCCGUCUUCUCGGGCGAACUGAUCCAUCUAUUGCGCUUCUUCGGAGCCGACUGCUCGGAUCGGCUGUAGGCCAAAAUCGGUGACCUUCAGGAAAUCGGUUUCCCAAACCCUACCUGAUAUGCACCUGACGGUUUCGCAGCUCCAUUGCUGUGCGUCGGCCGCCGCGAUGCUGUACGCGGAGUCGGCUUUGACCACUUCGAUGUUAUCGCCAACCCAUUGUACAAGGCAUUGAUGCAUAGUUGACGGGAUGCAGCAGUUUGCGUGUAUCCAGUCUCGGCCAAGAAGCAUAUUAUAGGACCCUUUGCCAUUAAUGACGAAAAACGUAGUAGGAAGGGUCUUACUGCCGAUGGUGAGGUCGACGCAGAGGGCACCGCGAGCGUUUGACACCUUGCCUUCGAAGUCCUUGAGCAUCAUGUCUGUCUUGGUCAGGUCGUCGUCGCUCUUUCCUAGCUUUCGGAGUACGGCAUACGGCAUGAUAUUGACGGCGGCUCCUCCGUCGACCAUUAAUCUAGUGAGGGGGCGACCGUCAACAUGCCCUUUAAGGAACAAUGCCUUCAUAUGUUGUCGUUCGUCGUCUUCGGGCUUUUCGAACGUGGCCAUCAUCGGUUCUAAAGCCAACCGUGCUGUUUGUUCCUCUAUCGCCGACAUGUCCUGUUGAUCGGCAGGGGUCAUGAACUCUAUCGGCAAUAUGAAAACCAUACCGAUUUCGGCAGCCGAUUCAUCGCCUGCCGAUUCAUCGUUGCCCUUGUCGUUUCUUUUAGGGCGCCACACUCGAGGCCUUCCUUGCUUCUUGUCCAUCGCGCUCUCUUCUUCUUGCUGUUCCCAUUGGCGGAGGCGUUGGACUCUCCGUUUUUGUGAUUUGGUUAAACCGUCGGGGCACCAUCUGGGGUUUAUUGGCCUCCCUUCUUUCCCGGCGCGUUCCCAUUCCGGUUCGCGUCCUAACGGGUUCUCGUCCGUUACCCGAGCAUCGGCCAUGUCUUCGAGCCGGCUGUGAACGCUGGCUUUGCUACUCGAUUGAUCGUGUCGAUCGGUCCUGCCCCCUGCCUAUUAUGGCUUCUACCUUCUGACCGAUCAUAUCAGUCACUUCUGCCCCCCAGCCGAUCACGCAUGGAAGGGCGCAGAUCAUCUGGGUUGCGCCGAUUUCUGCUGAUCGGUUCUGGCCUUCCAUCCCUGGAACGAGACCUGGUGACCGGUCGAUUGCCUCGAUAAGGACCAUUGCACUCUGGGCAAGUAUCGGCUGAUGGUAGCCUGAGGUUAUUUUCCCAACAAUGGAUGAAGAAUGGGCAUCUCCAGUGCUCCUCAUGCCGACGCAUCGCUUCCUCUCGGGACCUCGAACGUUCAUGUUGGCGUUGGUACUUUUGGAGCAGGAACUGGGAAGUAAUACGUGGUCUAUCAGAUUCACCAUCGUCAUCCUCCAUUCGCCGUUUCCCUUUGACGUCUUCGGGCGUAACUUGAUUUCUGGGAUCGACAGAGCCACUCUUUUUUGCCGACUCGGACGUCAGCACUUUUGUUUGGAGAGAAUUCCUCCCCGUGUCAGCCAUGUUGGUAGGAAAAGGGUGCUGGUCGAUUUUCAUUGGUUUGGCCGGUUUUACCGGCACUUCAAAUUUGAGUCUGCCUUGCUCAAUGGCCGACUGUAUUUGUUGCCUGAAGAUUUUGCACUCGUUGGUAUCAUGUGACGUGGCAUUGUGCCACUUGCAAUACUUCAUCUUCUUCAAUUGUUCGGCAGAGGGUAUUGUGUGGUAUGGUGAGAGUUUAAUCUGCCCUUCCUGGAGUAGGAGAUCGAAGAUUUUGUCAGCUUUAGUUGUAUCGAAACCAAAUGCUUCCGGCUCCUUUUUGCCGAACGGGCAUGAUAUCGGCUUCUUUCCUUUAAUCCACUCUGCGAGUCCGAUGUCGGCGUCUUCUUCAUCCUCUAGUUCUUCCAGGAAUGCCACUUUCUUCUGGAAAUUCCUUCUUGGAUCGAACGGACGUACCUCUUGCCCGGACAAUCAGUGGACAAUCUGGCUCAGGUUUUCGAACUCUUGUGAAGCAUAUUUUUCUUUAAUGUGAGGCAGCAGGCCUUGGAAAGCUAUAUCUGCCAACUGUGCAUCGGUUAGAGCCAGGGAGUAGCAUUUGUUUCUGAUUUCCCGAAACCUCUGUAUGUACGAGGGUAUCGGCUCAUCACUUCGUUGCCGGAGGCUAGUCAAAUCAGACAGCUUCAUUUCGUGGACUCCAGCAUAGAAGUAUUUGUGGAACUGCCUCUCUAGAUCGGCCCAUGUGAUAAUCGAGUUUGGUGGCAAAGUGGUGAACCAUUGGAAGGCCGAUCCAGACAAGGAUGACGAGAACAACCGUACCCGCAGGGCAUCUUGCGUAGCCGCCUCUCCGCAUUGGAUGAUGAAUCUAUUCACAUGUUCCACGGUAGAAGUGUCAUCCAUUCCGGAAAAUUUAGUAAAAUCAGGAACUUUAUACCGAUGGGGGAACGGCAACAAGUCAUACGUAGAUGGGUAUGGUGUCCUGUAGGUAUAAGUUUGUACCUUCGGCUUCAAGCCGAAUUGUUCUUGCAUUACCUCUGCGAUUUGCGCCGACCAAUCCGGUUGUUGCUGGGGAAUAGUUGGCGGUGGGAUCGGCACAUGUUGAUAAAUCGGAGGUUGAAUAAAAGGAGGUUGAUAAAAAGGUGGUAUCUGAGUAUAAGCCGGUGGUGUAGUAAAGGACGGCUGUUUGUAGGCACCACUUGUUUCAUCAUAAAGCAUGAGCUCUGACGUUUUGUUGACCUCCGGAGUAAUAGACUGGUACGGGGGUAUGAUCGGCCGAGUGGCCGUUUGGGAGGGUGUAUGGAACGGAGGAUUUCCCUGACUGACCGAUUGAUUCAAACCGGUCGUGUUUAAGGCUGCCCCCCAGGGUAAAGGGAUCACUGGAGGGAGUGGCGUAGAGGACGGCUGGAUGGAGCCGUAUCCCAAAGGAGUUGAUGACGUAGACGCACCAGAUCCUCCGACUGAGGAUUGGAUCGGCUGUGAAGACUGAUAAGCCUGAUUUGGUGGAAUCGGCUGAAAAUACGUAGGUCCCCUGUACCCUUGUGGUAUACCUCCGGCGAAGGAGUUGACAACAGCAUUGUGCACCAUGUUUGAAAGUACCGGGGAUUGGUUGAUGAAGGCGUGAUGAAGAGAUUGUUGAAUCACAUCGGACAUUUUAUCCGAAUCUUCUGAAAUUGUGAUCUGGCGGGGAGUAGGGAAAGGAGAUUUUUUAACAGUUUCCCCGCUCCUUGAACGACUGAAGGAUUUUAAACAAGUUUUACGGACUUGUUCCAAAUACUGAUUCAGAUCUUCUUUUUGGUCGUCCUUUAGAUCUGCUUCCGUCACUUCGAUGACGUUAUCUUCGGAGACUUCAGCAGUUUUCGUCAUGACAACGGUUGUAUUGGUCCCACUGGGCGUGCCAAAAGUGUGUUGGCGCUAGAAAUCGGUCAACCGAAUCCCAGCGACCGACACACGACCCGGGAGAAUCUGCUUAGCUCCUGUUCGGGUGAAAGCCCUGGUGCGGUUCGCGCGGCGUGCCAGCCAAUCUGACCUGUUGAUUGGCAAGGAAGAACACGUGUUAAAUUCAGAAACUACGAUCGGCUAAGUUUCCGAUCGAGAAGAGCUUAUCGGCAAAUCGGCCGAUUUACUAUGGUAGUGAAAUCGGCUAUAAGACAGCACGAUCAUUGUAGCUUUGUAGAUAGAAAAAUACUAAAGUAAAUCGGUACAAAGCUUUAUAGAAACAGCACUAGGAAAAGAUCUAAUCGGCAAUAAACAGAUCUAACAGCGGAAAGUAAUGAAAGCCGAUACUACCGAUUCCUAGCGAGAUAACUGGUGAUAAAAACUAGGAAAACAGGUAGAAAACCUAUGAAUCUAGUCGAUAUCGAUAACUGAUGAACAAAUCUAAACGAAACAACAGCGAUGCGCCGGAAGUUAAAGCUUAGAUAUUAUUCGAUAAACGGAACUUACAGAAUCGGCCGGAGAUCAAGAUGAUGCAGCCCCGCCAACCCGCACGAACUCGUGAGAAGAAAAAGUAACGGCGAAAUCGCCUGCUCGAAAGUAAGUACGAAGAAUAAAGUAACUUGUUGUAUUGAUUGAUUGUUGUGUUUACAGAUUUACAAAGGUAGCUAUUUAUAGCCCCGUACAAAUAAUCUUCUUAACCGACUAGAACUCUAUCUCUAAUUCAAACAGAAAACAAAUAUCUACAAGCGCAAUCCGUGCCAAACUAAUUACCCCACGCUUCGUGGGCUGAACUCCACCUUAUCCUUUUAUCUUUCCAAGCCCAUACAGGCCCACAUUAGUCCACUUUCCUGAUCGGCCGAUUUCUUAUCGGCAAAGGAUUGCCGAUUGGGAACCUGACGCAUCCGCCUUGAAGCGAAGUAAAAGCUCCCGACCGAUUCCGCAUCAUAGCACCUUUUGGCCGAUUUCCAUCCGCACUUCUUCGACUUCUUUACUCUUUGGCGCCGAUUCUACUGAUGACGAAAUCCGGCGUCAACACCUCUAUAUCAAAGUUGUAGUGCUUAACGAGAUAUAAAAUUUUGUAGUUGACAAAUUUUUCAUUUAAAAUCGUUUAGCUAUCCAAAACUUCAUUAUAAGGUUAUAAAAGAAACACGUUCCGCCACGUCAACGAUGUGUAUCUCCAAAAUCGAGCUCUCACAUUGGCCCCAACCUCAUCUCCCUGGAUCCAUCCCCUCUUAUCCAUUCCCUUGAUUGGUCUCCUCCUACCGGCCCCGCCUCGUCCCCCGCCAUCGGCGCCGUCCUCCAGCCCUGGCCUGCAUCAUGCCCGUGUGCCGGCCCUGCCUUGAUCUCCUCCAAUCCUGCCGCCUCAUUCUUCGGCCCCACCGCUUCGUCCCCCAACGUCGGCGUCAUCCUCCAGGUCCCACCGCCUCAUCCUCCGGUUCCGCCUCGGUCUCCUCCAACCCCGCCGCCUCGUCCCCCAACGCCGUCCUCCAGGCCUCGACCCGUGUUGUCUUCCGGCCCGCCGCCUGGUCCGAUUCGUGAUGUCCCUGCCUCGCUCGUCCCCCGCUGCUGGCACCAUCCUCCGACCUUGACCUCGGUCGUCCCUGCACGCCGGCCCCACCUCGAUCCCGCCGGCCAUCUCCUCCGGCCGACAACCCCCCUGCCUGCGGGCGGCUCAGACGGGAGCGACAGGACAUUUUUUUCACAAAAAUAUUUGUGCUAGCGGGGGACUUAACCACCCACCAGCACAGAGCGUUAUGUGCUAGCGAGCGAGCACCCACUAGCACAGAGAGCCAUCAGUGUUGGCUCAAAGUUGGAGCACCUGCCAUCACAGUGCCCUUUCACCGGCCAGCCAAAAAUGCUUUCUGGCCUAGUCAAUUAUAUAUACACUAUGCACUUUAUGAUAGCAAAAAUGAGCUUUUACACCCAGAGUGACUGACUGUGCUAGCUUACUAUUUUAUAGGUACAACUUCAGUCGGAGAGACCUCGUUCGUACUAAUAAGAACGACAGCUUUGCUAGCUGGGUUAAACAGGAAAAGAUCCCGAUGGUGCUUGACUGGGCCACCAGGGGUAAUGGCUCUUGCCGACCCCCAGCAAAGGACGCAGGUCCUUCGGCAAAAUGGACAGCUCCUGAUUGUGUUAGUGAACAAAGCAUCUGUGUUAAUGCCACACAAGGGCCUAGGUACCUAUGCAACUGUUCCGAGGGAUACAGGGGCAAUCCCUACAUCAUCAGGGGAUGCAAAAGUUCGUUUUGUUUAUUUCCCUUCCUUUGAUUAGAUCGGAUAUAUGUUUUGAUGGACACCUAAGUAAUUAUUAGAGAAGAAUUACUACUUUUUGCCGGCUUCUACAUUUUUGUGGAAUGUAUUGAUAUAUGUAAUUAUUAGAAAACAAUGGCUAAUUUUUUAAGGUUUAAUUAUGCAUCUUAUGUUUCAGUAUAAUUCAGUGGCAGAAGGCAACGGAGGAUUCUUUGCGGAUUUUUCCUCUGAACUAACUAUAUAUUUGAAUGCCUGUAUAACACAGGUAUUAAUGAGUGCCAAGAAUAUGCUAAUAAUCCUUGUCACAGUAGUAGCACCUGCCAUGAUACACCAGAUGCUUACUACUGCAAAUGCAACUUUGGACUAAAAGGAGAUGGCAAAAUUGGCGACGGAUGCCAGCCUAUAUUUCCACCAUGGGCAUUAGCGAUCAUAGGUGAGCACUCGCUCAUUAUAUUGAUUAUCUAUCUGAUGUGUCUCGUGCCACUGCCACUGCCACUGCCACUGCCACUACCUCCGGUCCGACGCGCUUCCCCCACCCAGGCACCCACGGGUGCGUAUCCCGCGAGGCAGCGCCGGCGCCGCCGAUCGGGAGGUUGCAUGGUGGCUACAGACGGUGAGAGCCCGUGGCAAUUUCUGCUCAUCUUCUUCUCAGGCAGCCUUCUGGGUUCCUCUCAUUCGAUCUGCCACUGACAAAGGUAUCUCUUCCUCUGAUAGCACUGAUGCAGAUUCCCGAUUUGUUAUUGGGACAGAAACUUGGUCCGUUGCCCUAUGAAUCUGUGAUUACCUGUUACGCUUGUAUUUGUAUACAUUUCCUGUGCUCACUUCUGAAAUAGAUGAUAAUAUACUAUAAACAAUAUACAUUUACGCUGAUGGAGAGGACCAUGAAACAAAUAAUUAAUACCAGGCGAUCGACAUCUUUGAUGAGUUCGAGUAUGAGGCGCUCCGUCGUCAAGCCAAGAAGAAUGGGCACAUCACCAAGCUUGGCAAGGCUGGAGUAAAGCUCUUUCCUACUCACAACCGUGUUAUAUUCCGUAUCAGGAUGGCCAGCAAGCUUCAACGCGUUGUUGACACCAUCAAGGUCCUUGUGGAUGAAAUGAACGUCUUUGGGUUCAACAGGCCUCAACACCAGCAGGCACCAGCACUGAAGGAGGGGCGUGAGACGGAUUCCAAUAUCGUUGAUCCUAAAAAUAUUGUUAGCCGAUCUAGGCAUGAGGAAAGGAAGAAAAUUGUUGAGAUAUUGGUCAACGAUCAAGCUACCAAUGGUGAUCUCAAGGUUCUUCCCAUCGUUGGAAUGGGAGGUUUGGGCAAGACCACCCUCGCUCAGCUCAUCUACAACGAUCCUCAAGUCAAGGAUCAUUUUCAGCUACUAAAGUGGGUGUGUGUGUCAGAUGAUUUCAAUCUGCGUAAUGUUGCCAACAAAAUUUGCAACGCUUCGGAGGGUUCCCUUGAAGAGGCACUGAAGGAGCUUCAGGAACAGCUUAAGGGAAAGAGGUAAGCUGGAGUUAAUCAACUCGAUUCUCUUGCCCUCUAUCGUGCUUUCAAGCUAAGUCACUCUUACUAAUUUCUCAGUACAUGCAGUGACCCGUUAUUAGUUGUUUACAAUAAUCAUUAUUGUGUGUUGAAAGCAAUAAUUAUUAAUUGUUUACAAUAAUCAUUAUUGUGUGUUGAAAGCAAUAAUUAUUAAUUGUUUACAAUAAUCAUUACUGCAUUAUUCCUCUAUCAUUAUUGUGUGUUGGGUGGCAAACCCGUCAUUUGGCUAUCUAUUAGCUGGAAAUAAAGGUGCUAAUGUAAACAAUUAUCGGUAACAGGUACCUUCUUGUAUUGGAUGACGUAUGGGAUGAGGAGAGCUUCUUGGACAACUGGGAAAAGUUCAAGACCUGUCUUGAACAAGGUGGUGUCGGUAGUGCCGUACUGACAACGACCCGUAACACAGAAAUAGCUCAAUUAAUGGGUACAAUUGGGAUCUCACACGAAAGGAAAUACCUUGAUGUCGGAACUUUGGGCAAGGAAUUCAUACAGGAAAUUAUUGAAACAAGAGCAUUCAGUUUGCAUAAGCGAGAUGAUGAGCUUGUAAACCUGGUUGGUCCGAUUGCAGACAGAUGUGCUGGGUCGCCAUUGGCAGCCAAAGCUCUAG